AACGAGCAGCAGAGCCGCCCAGCAGCAACCACAUUAGGAAGGAAUCGGAAACCAACGCUCCGCUGGCUGUCACCCCUUACCCACUUGCUGUCAGACCACAGCCUGAGGCAGCCAAACCCAUUUCCUUGGGGAUCCAGCGCAAACCAGAGAGUGUGGACAGGCCGAUGGAAGAAUGUUGGACCAGCUUUAAGAAUGGGCUGUUCUAAGUCAUGAAUAUUGUAGGAAGCAGCUCUAAGGACCACAGGGCUGGAGGGUGCACAGGAAGGGGCCAGUGCAUACAGGUGUCCAAACAGUGUCAUCCGGUGUCCUGACAUGCGGCCCCAAUGGACUGAUCCAGGGUGGAAAGGAAGAGUGAGAAGAAAUCAGACAGAAGAAUUCAGGAGAUGUGGCAACAGAGUGGAUGUAGCAGAAGGGACAUAGAGAGUGCCUAAAGAUGAGUCUUUGGUCAGCAUGUGAUGAAAAGAAUGAAGACACUGGGGAAGUGGGGAGCAGAAGCGGAUGUGGGCCCAGGAGGAAGAAGAAUUUGGGACCUGGGAGUUUGGGAGAAAAGCAAAGAAGGCCUGGGGUUGAGUGAGACACAGGGUCCCAGCCAGCAGCUAGAACACGAGGAGAAAAGAAGAAAGGACUCACUGAAAGGGAAUUGCUGAAGAGGACCUUUAUAUCUGAGGGCUUUACUUUGUGCUUUGUAAUUUCCCUUUGUCAUCCUCAUCUUUUAGGAAACUGAUUAACCACUAUAAUUUACGUCGUAUUAGCAACGCCUUAGAGAAUGAAGGAGGAACUGUACUUAUUCUUGGAGCGUAGCCUGGAGAGAGGCAGAAGCCUUCAGGAGCUGUUACUAGGUAGUAGGAAAUCACUCUCUCUAGAGUCCUCUGAAACAGUCUGGAAGAGAAUGGAUUUCCUGCUGUUGUGCAGGAUGAGGGUUUGAGUACAGUAAUUUAAUUUACUUAUUUAAAAAAUACUGGAAGAUGGGGAGGGAGGAUGGGUCAGAUUAUAAUAUGUUCAUAUGUCUAAGGCAGGAAAUUAGAUACAAGAUGAAAUCUAAGAAAGUUCUGUGAUUGGGUUUCUCCCACAGAAGGAGGAGAAAAUCCCUGCAUCUCUGGUUAUGCAAAUAAUAUGCAAAUUACAGUGAUUACAUACUUGCUUAGAAAAUUUUGAUUACCUCAUUUUGACUUCAGGCAGAGUUGGGACACCAAAAGGGAAUGUUUGUCAACAGUCCAGAGUUGUUAGAUUUCUUCCAGGGGAAAUGAAAGGGUAAAUUUCUUACCAAACACAAGGGUUUUAAAUAAGUUUUUCAAACUCCUUAAUGUCUCCCUUCCACAAAGCAUACCAAAAAAAAAAAAAAAUUACAAUAGAGUCAAAAUGUGAUCUGUAGACAAAAUGAAGGACAAAUGGUUUUCCCCCCUAAAUUUUACUCCAGGGUACAUUUUCUCCUCUUUCUUUGUCGAACAAUGUGAAGUAAGGGCUUGGAUUUUGUCCUGCAGAUGGUUUUGCAAUCAGUUCUAGCCAUUUCUCUAAGUCUGGGCUUCAAAUCUGUCAGUUGAGAGUGAUACAGUUGCCUGUCCCAUGGUGGUGUUAAGUGAGGCUGAGAGCAUCAAACAAAUGUCCCAGCUCCUGCCACAGUUGCAUCCUUGACACGUUCCAGUGGUGCCCGAGCAACACUGCAAAGACCCCCUGGGAUGUCUGUUGGCAAGAAAAGGUGGAGCCACUGCCCUGGGGGGCUGGGAAGGGAGUUAGAGAACUACUGUCUUAACCUAAAAUUUGGGCAGAAUCUGCCUUGGAUCAAAUUUAAAAUCUUUUCUGAAUAUUAGCUGACUUGAUUAGAAACUAGUUGUCUCUCCCCUUCUCAGCAGAAGACUGUGGAAUGUGUCUCCUAGCAACAGAGAUGUGUUACUAUCUUAUGGUAGGACUGUUUUAUAAAGCAGCAAUCUCCAACCUUUUUGGCACCAGAGACCAGUUUCAUGGAAGAUGAUUUCUCCACAGACAGGGAAGUGGGGGGAUGGUUUCAGGAUGACUCAUGCGCAUUACAUUUAUUGUGUACUUUAUUUCUAUUAUUAUUACAUUGUAAUAUAUAAUGAAAUAAUUAUACAACUCACCAUAAUGUAGAAUCAGUGGAACCCCUGAGCUUGUUUUCCUGCAACUAGAUGGUUCUAUCUGGGGGGUGAUGGGAGACACUGACAGAUGAUCAGGCAUUAGAUUCUCAUAAGAAGUGCACAACCUAGAUCCCUCACAUGUGCAGUUUACAGUACGGUUCACGCUCUUUUGAGAAUCUUAUGCUGCUGCUGAGGUGGAAGGUGGAGGUGGAGGUCGAAGGUGGAGGUGGAGCUCAGGCAGUAAUGUGAGCAAUGGGGAAUGGCUGUAAAUACAGAUGAAGCUUCACUCACUUGCCUGCCACUCAAAACAGGCCACAGACCAGUACCGUGUAGAAGUACCAAUCUGUAGCCUGGGGGUUGAGGACCGCAGCUAUAAAGGACACUCAUUCUGCUGUCCGCACUUCUCCCAAUAACUACCAGGAAAGGGUCACAGUCAGAAUGAAUUUAGCCAUUCACCUUCAGUACCAAUGCAUUGUCCUAAAGAGGUAACAGUUCCACUGGCUUCAAAUCUUUUGUAUCAUUUGUGUCUUCCUUCCCUCUCUUCUCUUCCUCUCUCAUUCACACUUUUCUCUUCUUUCUCCCCAAUCUCUCAACUCCUUUCCUUCCUUGCUUCCCUGACCACUACCUUUUCAACAUCUGUCUUUUGACCUUUCCCUUUCCCUUCUUUAUUCCUAUCCCUGCCACCAUCCUGUGUAAAGUGCUAUCAGUUCUACUCCAUUCUUCCCUCUACCUCUGCCCUUAACCCUAGUUCCAGGUCCAGGUAGUUCCUUACCCCACCCUCUGGACAAGGCUGCUUCUGGGCUAUAAUCUCUUUUCAAGAUAUUUUAUCCUACAUGCAGCUGCCAAGUUAUUUCCCCUACAACAGCAAUCUAUUCAUAACACAGCCCUGCUCAAAAACCUUUAAGGGUUUACAUUUCCUAUGGAGUAAAAACCAAGUCGUAAGCCUCAUGUUCCAGAGCCAAGACAGUAUGGUUCUAUUCAUCUUUUGCAGCCUGGGCAUGCUCUGGUUUUCUUUAGACAUGCACUGUUCCUGUCAAAAUGCCUCUUAUCCACCUGGGUCUCUUCUCCAGCUGUUUCCUCUGCCUAAAGUUCCCUCACCCCAAUUCCUCCAUCUCUGCACAUCUAAAACCACUAGGGCUACCUCAAGCUUAGCCUGUUCUGUGCAACCUUUCCUGAUAUCUCUACCUAAUCCUUCUUCUGAACCCCUAUAGAACUUAUCCCCAUAAUGAGGUCACCCUAACAACAAUCAACCAGGUGCUGCCAGCUCUGUCCCACACAUCAAUAUGACCUUCAGCCCCUGCCUAAGUUCCAUUGUAGAAGUGUCUCUAGAAGUUCCCAGGGUGCCUCACAUGUACUCCCUGAAUAAGGACACUUCUUUCAGGUCUUGCCAGUGCUCUGCCAUCUUCCCCCAAGCAUCUGCUGGGCACCAUUGCUCCUGACACAGCUAGGGAGCUCCUACCACGUCAAGGUUUACAGUGUUCUGGAGUAAGUUGCAGAAUGAACCUGCAACUCCUCCUUACUGAGGAGUCAGAGUCCACUCUAUCAGGGAGAUCUCAAAAGAAUGUUGUUGAUGCUCUAAUGGUCUUUGAGGUACUGUAAAACAGUUCUUUCUGCUUAUUCCCCCAAGCCCCAUCCCUAUGGAGCCAUAGGAUUCCAAUGUUAGGUAAAUGUGACAGAGCAUUGUGCUUUACUUGGAAUUGACCCUUCUGCCCAAAAUGCUGCAUUCUUACUGAGUCAGGUAUGUUAUACCUGCUCUGUCUUCACACAUGGCCUUCGUCAGCCCCUAAUAUAAGUAAAUGAGGGGCUGGACUGCCUAUAUAUUUUCUAGAAAAUGUAGUCUUAAUGAGUCACUGUUAUGGUUGGAAAUGUAUCCUAUCCCUCAAGUAUGCUGGGGAAGAAAAGUGGUUAAGACAUACUAGAUUCUAUGAUACUCCAGAACUGCACUGCUCAACACAGUGGCUACUGGCCACAUGAGGCUAUAGAGCACUUGAAAUUUAGCUACUCCCAACUGAGAGGUGCUAUGAGUAUAAAAUUCAUAUCAGGUUUCAAAGACUUACUCCUCCAAAAAAGGGUGUAAAAUAAGUCAUUAAUAACUUUUGUAACGUUGACUACAUGUUGAAAUAAUACUUUGUAUUAGGUCAAAUAACAUGCCAUUAAAAUGGAUUUCACCUCUUCUUACUUUCUUAGUAUGGUUUCUAGAAAACUUAAAAUUACAUACAUGGUUUGCAUUUGUGGCACACCUUAUAUUUCUAUUGCACAGUGCUGCUCUAGAGCAGCUCUCUAGAGCACUUGUUAGAAAUGCAAACCCUUGGGCCCCAGCUCAGACCUACUGAGUCAGAAACUCCAGUAGGGCCCAGCAAUCUGUGGCAAACAAGUUCUCCAGCUAGUCCUGGCUCACACUGACAUUAAG
rnacentral:lncRNA from 1 species